GGGGACGACAGGAAUCGAUGGAAUAGUACGUUUACAGGUGCAAGCCGCCUUCGGUAAUAGGCGUAAAAAAGACCAAAAUACAACUGUCAAUAAAGAAGACAAGUUACUUGGGUUCACUUCCACCGAAGUGGCUCAAUCUCCCGCUCUCGCUUACGCAUUUGCCUAAGCUCGAGUUUGAAGACGUCUUAGAGAGUAGCGGAUCCAGGGCUCUCCUUAAGGCGAUAAAACACCGGAUUGAACGCUUUGAGUCCGAUUUAGGCUCAAAGACUAACUUAUUCUAAAUCAAACUUAAGAUGAUCCUGUAAGACGGUAAUCUUAAGAAAAUCUGUCUUACUACGCUUGUAGAAUCUGUAAUCUUUCUGUUUCAGACGAGAGUUCAAUUCUCUCCGUCUCCACAC
rnacentral:tmRNA from 2 species